UCCUACGGGGAGGCAGCAGUGGGGAAUAUUGCACAAUGGGCGGAAGCCUGAUCCAGCAACGCCGCGUGAGGGAUGACGGCCUUCGGGUUGUAAACCUCUUUCAGCACGGACGAAGCGCAAGUGACGGUACGUGCAGAAGAAGGACCGGCCAACUACGUGCCAGCAGCCGCGGUAAUACGUAGGGUCCGAGCGUUGUCCGGAAUUAUUGGGCGUAAAGGGCUCGUAGGCGGUUUGUCGCGUCGGGAGUGAAAACCCGGGGCUUAACCCCGGGCCUGCUUUCGAUACGGGCAGACUAGAGGUACUCAGGGGAGAAUGGAAUUCCUGGUGUAGCGGUGAAAUGCGCAGAUAUCAGGAGGAACACCGGUGGCGAAGGCGGUUCUCUGGGCGUAUCCUGACGCUGAGGAGCGAAAGCGUGGGGAGCGAACAGGAUUAGAUACCCUGGUAGUCCACACCGUAAACGUUGGGCGCUAGGUGUGGGGGGGGUAACACGGUUCCGGCGGGCAGCUCUGGGACUCAGAGACACAAUCUGAACUCCAUUUAUGGU
rnacentral:rRNA from 1 species